GGGUUGCUGACUUAUUGAUAUAUACCCCACAUCUCUUUUUGUUCAUGUCAAUUUUCUAAAUUUGUGAACCAUUCAAAGUCUGGGAUAUAAAUUUAGACACAAUUGAUAUUGAGGUAUGAUAUUAAUUACAAGUACCAAGUGAAGUGAAAAAUGGUUUAUAUUAAGUGUUAAUUAUCAUUUCAACAUCUUUGAAUUAAGAUUUUUAUGCCCCACCUACGAUCUACGAUAGUAGAGGGUCAUUUUGUUUUCUGGUCUGUCUGUCCGUUCAUCUGUUCGUUCCUUCGUCUGUGCGUCUGUUCGUCCCGC
rnacentral:lncRNA from 1 species